rnacentral:rRNA from 1 species
GAUGAACGCUGGCGGCGUGCCUAAUACAUGCAAGUCGAGCGAACGGACGAGAAGCUCGCUUUUCUGAUGUUAGCGGCGGACGGGUGAGUAACACGUGGAUAACCUACCUAUAAGACUGGGAUAACUUCGGGAAACCGGAGCUAAUACCGGAUAAUAUUUUGAACCGCAUGGUUCAAAAGUGAAAGACGGUCUUGCUGUCACUUAUAGAUGGAUCCGCGCUGCAUUAGCUAGUUGGUAAGGUAACGGCUUACAAAGGCAACGAUGCAUAGCCGACCUGAGAGGGUGAUCGGCCACACUGGAACUGAGACACGGUCCAGACUCCUACGGGAGGCAGCAGUAGGGAAUCUUCCGCAAUGGGCGAAAGCCUGACGGAGCAACGCCGCGUGAGUGAUGAAGGUCUUCGGAUCGUAAAACUCUGUUAUUAGGGAAGAACAUAUGUGUAAGUAACUGUGCACAUCUUGACGGUACCUAAUCAGAAAGCCACGGCUAACUACGUG